UACGUAGGGUGCAAGUGUUAAUCGGAAUUACUGGGCGUAAAGCGUGCGCAGGCGGUUAUGUAAGUCAGAUUUUAAAUCCCCGGGCUUAACCUGGGAACCGCAUUUGUGACUGCAUAGCUGGAGUACGGCAGAGGGGGAUGGAAUUCCGCGUGUAGCAGUGAAAUGCGUAGAUAUGCGGAGGAACACCGAUGGCGAAGGCAGUCCCCUGGGCCUGUACUGACGCUCAUGCACGAAAGCGUGGGGAGCAAACAGG
rnacentral:rRNA from 1 species